UUCCCGUAGUGAUGCAGAGCCAGAAGCUUUGAAGCAGCAAACAUGGACUGGUGUGAAAAAUUACGUGCGGAACAGGAUCACGACUCUUAAAAGAAAGGGUGGUUUGUAGGGAGACACAAACACUUCAACACUUUGCACAUUAUGCUCUUUUCGUAAGAAAUUGAGCUAAAUUAAAAGAAAUGAAGAUAAAGGUGUAGACAUUAAAAUUAAGAGACGCUCGCGCUGUUUGCAUACUUUACCACAGCUGAAGUAGAAAAAAUGCAUUAUUUUCCAAAUACACAGAUAUUUCAGAGACAUUUUCAUUCAAUACAUGCACUGCUUAAUACAGUGUCUGUUUGUACAAGAAUAAAGUUCAACAUAAGCCUAAAUACCAACGUAAAGAGGGAGGAGAGAAUGUAAAGGGGACGUAAAGAGGGAGGAGAGAAUGUAAAGGGGAGGUAAAGAGGGAGGGGAGGAGAGCAUUAGGCUUGUUGGACUUCAUGCAGCGCUGCAGAACGAUCAGCGGCUAACUUGAGCAGUUCUUGACGGUUAGAACUUGUGUCCGACUUCAGACAGCGACGCCCGUGACUGUGCCAUAAGGCAACAGAGUACAACUAGAGUGAUUGGAGAGCAGGAGGACUCAGCCAGAGCAGAUUCUCUAGAGCGACUCACAAGCUCUGAUGAUGACACAGCUAAUCCACGAUUGGCAGAGUACACCGCUUGACAACGAUCACGUGUGUUUCAUGUUUCUUCUCACACCUUCAGUUCCACUAAGGAUCACAUCUGUUCUUUAUAACAGUAAAAGCUCUUUUCAUGUAGUUGCGAUAAAUGUUUAUCAAAAUAAAACAAUGUAGACCCCACUUCACUGGUAUUUAGGCUUACUUUGAACUUUAUUCUUGUACAAACAGUAGUGCAUGUAUUGAAUGAAAAUGUCUCUGAAAUAUCUGUAUUUGGAAAAUAAUGCGUUUAUUCCACUUCAGCUGUGGUAAAGUAUGAAAACUUAGCCUGAGCGUCACUACAGGAAGCAGAAAGUGUCUGACAUCACAUCUCAGUUUUCAGCUUCUCUCGUCUGCACACGGCAACUCUCACCAAUCGGUUACAUCCAGCCACAGCCCAUGUCCAGCACAGCUAAUAUAAGGGAUGAAUAGAGGGAGUAAAAGUAAAGAGGAUGAAAAGAGGGAGGUGUAAGCGGGUAAAAAGAGUGAGGAGUAGAGUUAAAGAGGAUAAAGAGAGGGAGGAGUAAAGAGGGUAAAAAGAGUGAGGAGUAGAGUUAAAGAGGAUAAAGAGAGGGAGGAGUAAAGAGGGUAAAAAGAGGGAUGAGUAGAGUUAAAGAGGGAGGAGAGAAUGUAAAGGAGGAAGUAGAGAGAUUUUGAAGAAGGGUGGAUGGAGGAAGUACAGAGGAUAGUUGGGCACUGAGAAUCAUUCCCACCUCCAAGUUAAUUGAUUUUUCAUUGUUGUUCUUUAAAAAUUUUUUUUUUUGAAGUUCUGUCAUUAACUGCAAUGUGCACUUUCAACACAAUGUGUCCAAGACUGUUAAUAUUAAAGAUGUGUGUCACUUGAGUCCCCAAAGAGUCAUUUAAUCGGAGUGUGUGUGUCACUCGAGUCCCCAAAGAGUCAUUUAAUCGGAGUGUGUGUGUCACUCGAGUCCCCAAAGGGUCAUUUAAGCGGAGUGUGUGUGUCACUCGAGUCCCCAAAGGGUCAUUUAAGCGGAGUGUGUGUGUCACUCGAGUCCCCAAAGGGUCAUUUAAGCGGAGUGUGUGUGUCACUCGAGUCCCCAAAGGGUCAUUUAAGCGGAGUGUGUGUGUCACUCGAGUCCCCAAAGAGUCAUUUAAUCGGAGUGUGUGUGUCACUCGAGUCCCCAAAGGGUCAUUUAAGCGGAGUGUGUGUAUCACUAUUUUUAUUUGUAUAGAGUUUUUUUUGACAAUUACUACAGAAGAACAUGCCUAAUGUCUUAUAACCCCAGUGUGUAGCCAAAGAUGACUCUGGUGAGGAAAACUCCUUAAGAUGUUUUUGUGAUAAUGAUUAGUUUACAGUCGAUGCCAAAUUAACUAUGGGAGGGAUGCAGAUUCGGUCAGUGAAAGGUUCUCUGCCAUGAAGUGAAGUCCGUUUUAUUUCUAUAGCGCAUGAUACAAUACAGAUGGUUUCAAAGGAGCUUCACACACAUAAAAUAACUUGCAAAUGUCAACAAUUAUGAAAUGACUAAUGUAGAGCUGUUUUGCAGUUGAAAUUAAAGACAAUAGUGUUAUUAUUCAGCUCAAUUCUGUUCAUCUUUUGCUUCUGAUAGUCAAUCAGUCAAAUCAAUAAUAUUUCUGAAUGUUAAUUGUCAUUCCCCAACUGAGCAGCCAAAGGCACUUGAUCUCAAGCUACAAAUCAGACAAAACAUGUAGGCUACCCAUUUACAGUGAUCUUGCUGAAAAGAAGAAACCCAGUUUACUCUCUCACACCUGUAUCUUUGCACUAGCUUGAUUUCACUGUCCAGUAUUGGAACUGUGAAUUGUAAUAUUCUACUUCUGUCUUCUUAGGAUAAAUAAUAUAUACCAUCUCAACAAUGUCCUGAAAGUAUACCUUAACCAGAGUUUGUGUAUCACCAUGGUCCUCAAAGUAUGACUUGAUCAGAGUUUGUGUUUAAUGUCCCCAAAAUGGACAUAUAAAAUAAUGUCCCUAAAGUGAAGGUAAAAUGUCAGGUCUUUAAGGAAGGCUUUUAUUGAUAAAAUCAAGUGAUAUUUGUGAUGACAGCUUCUCCAGAAGUGCAGUCAUAUCUUUCUUUAGUCUCUAGACCCUUCAGAAAGGGGUGUCCCUAAAGGUAGGGUUUCCAGUCAUACGUCCUCACAUUGUGGUUAAGUAGGUAUGUGUGUGUGUGUGUGUGUGUGUGUGUGUGUGUGUGUGCGUGUGCGUGCGUGUGUGUGUGUGUGUGUGUGUGUGUGUGUGUGUAAG